rnacentral:rRNA from 1 species
GUGAGGAAUAUUGCGCAAUGGAGGCAACUCUGACGCAGCCAUGCCGCGUGCAGGAAGAAGGCGCUACGCGUUGUAAACUGCUUUUAACCGGGAAGAAACCCCAGGACGUGUCCUGGGUUGACGGUACCGGAGGAAUAAGCACCGGCUAACUUCGUGCCAGCAGUCGCGGUAAUACGAAGGGUGCAAGCGUUAUCCGGAUUCAUUGGGUUUAAAGGGUGCGUAGGCGGAGCGUUAAGUCAGUGGUGAAAUCCUGCAGCUUAACUGUAGACUUGCCAUUGAUACUGGCGCUCUUGAGUGCGCUUGAAGUGGGCGGAAUGUGCCGUGUAGCGGUGAAAUGCUUAGAUAUGGCACAGAACACCAAUUGCGAAGGCAGCUCACUAAGGCGAUACUGACGCUGAGGCACGAAAGCGUGGGGAUCGAACAGGAUUAGAAACCCGAGUAGUCC